rnacentral:rRNA from 1 species
CCUACGGGAGGCAGCAGUGGGGAAUAUUGGGCAAUGGGCGCAAGCCUGACCCAGCAACGCCGCGUGAAGGAAGAAGGCUUUCGGGUUGUAAACUUCUUUUCUCAGGGACGAAGCAAGUGACGGUACCUGAGGAAUAAGCCACGGCUAACUACGUGCCAGCAGCCGCGGUAAUACGUAGGGGGCAAGCGUUAUCCGGAUUUCCGGGGUUUAAAGGGGGUGUAGGCGGGAAAGCAAGUCAGAGGUGAAAACCAUGGGCUCAACCUGUGGCCUGCAUUUGAAACUGUUUUUCUUGAGUACUGGAGAGGCAGACGGAAUUCCUAGGGUAGCGGUGAAAUGCGUAGAUAUUAGGAGGAACACCAGUGGCGAAGGCGGUCUGCUGGACAGCAACUGACGCUGAGGCGCGAAAGCGUGGGGAGCAAACAGGAUUAGAUACCCUAGUAGUC